GACGAACGCUGGCGGCGUGCUUAACACAUGCAAGUCGAACGGAAAGGCCCUGCUUUUGUGGGGUGCUCGAGUGGCGAACGGGUGAGUAACACGUGAGUAACCUGCCCUUGACUUUGGGAUAACUUCAGGAAACUGGGGCUAAUACCGGAUAGGAGCUCCUGCUGCAUGGUGGGGGUUGGAAAGUUUCGGCGGUUGGGGAUGGACUCGCCGCUUAUCAGCUUGUUGGUGGGGUAGUGGCUUACCAAGGCCUUGACGGGUAGCCGGCCUGAGAGGGUGACCGGCCCCAUUGGGACGGAGAUACGGCCCAGACUCCUAUGGGAGGCAGCGGUGGGGAAUAGUGCACAAUGGGCGGAAGCCUGAUGCAGUACCGCCGCGUGCGGGAUGACGGGAUUCGGGUUGUAAACCGCUUUCGCCUGUGACGAAGCGUGAGUGACGGUAACGGGUAAAGAAGCACCGGCUAACUCCGUG
rnacentral:rRNA from 1 species